rnacentral:snRNA from 1 species
AGUUUGUGGAUUUUGUUACAGC